UACGUAGGGUGCGAGCGUUGUCCGGAAUUAUUGGGCGUAAAGAGCUCGUAGGCGGUGUGUCGCGUCGGCCCGUGAAAACCCGGGGGCUCAACCCCGGGCCCUGCAGUCGAUACGGGCAGACUAGAGUGCUGUAGGGGAGACUGGAAUUCCUGGUGUAGCGGUGAAAUGCGCAGAUAUCAGGAGGAACACCGGUGGCGAAGGCGGGUCUCUGGGCAGCAACUGACGCUGAGGAGCGAAAGCGUGGGGAGCGAACAGG
rnacentral:rRNA from 1 species